GUGCAUCGAAACAUCACCUGUCUGCAACCUUUUACUCAGCGGCGCCAUCCACUUCUCAGGCUGCAUGGCUACUCAGACCAUCAGGAUGCUUAAGCUGUUUGGACUGCAGUGCAUAAGUCCCGGCACUUUUUUCCGUCAUCAACGCUAUUACACUAUCCCUACCAUCGUGCAGGCCUGGAGGAAUGAGCAGAGGGGGAUCAUCAGGGAGUUAAAGGAGACUGGGGGUGGAUUGAUCCUGUCUGGAGACUGCAGAUCAGAUUCUCCUGGACACUGUGCCAAAUAUGGCAGCUACUCCUUGAUUGAGGACCGAAUUAACAAAGUUUUGGAUGUUCAACUUGUCCAAAGCUCAGAAGUCCCAAGCAGAUCUUGGUGGAGCUAGAGGGUCUAAAGCGGAGUAUGCAGUUCCUGAUGGACCAAGACAUUCAAGUAUCUGCUCUGAUAACAGACAGAAAUCGGCAGGUGGCCAAGUGGGUACGUGAGGAACUGUGUUCAAAGGGAACAAGACAUUUCUUUGACAUCUGGCAUAUUGGGAAAAGUGUACAGAAAGCACUGGAUGCUGCUGCCAAAUAGAGGGGCUGUGAGGAUCUGAAGCUGUGGAGGCCAGCCAUUAUUAACCAUCUCUACUGGACUGCAGCUUCCACCCCUACAGGAGAUCCAGAUGAGAUGCAGGCAAAAUGGCAGAGUAUGAUAAAUCAUGUACAGGAUAUACAUGAACACAGCACUCCUGCAUUUCCCAGCUGCGCACAUCAACCGUUGGAAGGAGAGGCGAGAAACAAGGAGUGGCUGGAACCAGGAUCACCAGCAGCCACUAAACUGGAGAGUGUAGCUGCCAGGAAAGCACUGGUGAAAGAUGUUCGACAAUUGUCACCUCAGCAUCAGACGUUCUUCCUGGAGGCCUACAAUUCCCUCAUUCUGCACUUUGCUCCAAAACACACUGGUUUCUCUUUUCUUGAGAAGAGAAACCAGUGUUCUCUUUUCUUUUCUUGCCGUUUGCUACCCCCCGGUUUCGGAAAGGUGGCUGGGUAGUCCGCCCCAUCAAGGAGAAACCAUCUUACGGCUACGCAACAAAUCUUAUGGUCUCUCUGUUAGAGGAAUACUCUAGAUCACCACAGGCCCUACAAGAACGCAGUGCUGUCUUGUCUUCUGAUGCCCCGCCCCCCCUCACCACUUCCCUCCAGAAGAUUGCCUAGGAUGAGGCAGUCAGCCUCCAUCUCGCACGACACUCACGUUUUAAUGUGUCAUAAAACAUACGCGAAAGAAAUUUUGAGAAAACACACGUAUCGGUAAUCGGUAGUUUAUUAGUAAAAAAAAAAAAAAAGAAUGCAUACAAUGGCACUGAAUUUCAUGUGCAAUGACAAAUAAAUCUAAUCUAAUACAUUUUACCAGUUGUUUGUUUCACUGAAUUUAUUCAUCGUCUUCCAAACGGGGCCACUGGAAACCUUUAUAUCUUUGUCCUUCUCCUGCAAACUGUCUCCUUAUUGCUGCAACAACACAUGAAGGUAUUGCUUUCCUGAUGUCCCUGCCUAGA